rnacentral:rRNA from 1 species
GACGAACGCUGGCGGCGUGCUUAACACAUGCAAGUCGAACGGAAAGGCCCUGCUUUCGUGGGGUGCUCGAGUGGCGAACGGGUGAGUAACACGUGAGUAACCUGCCCUUGACUUUGGGAUAACUUCAGGAAACUGGGGCUAAUACCGGAUAGGAGCUCCUGCUGCAUGGUGGGGGUUGGAAAGUUUCGGCGGUUGGGGAUGGACUCGCGGCUUAUCAGCUAGUUGGUGGGGUAGUGGCUUACCAAGGCUUUGACGGGUAGCCGGCCUGAGAGGGUGACCGGCCACAUUGGGACUGAGAUACGGCCCAGACUCCUACGGGAGGCAGCAGUGGGGAAUAUUGCACAAUGGGCGGAAGCCUGAUGCAGCAACGCCGCGUGCGGGAUGACGGCCUUCGGGUUGUAAACCGCUUUCGCCUGUGACGAAGCGUGAGUGACGGUAAUGGGUAAAGAAGCACCGGCUAACUACGUG